UACUCUGCGACAGAAAGGAACAAGGGUUAGAGAUCUGAGUGGAAGGAGUCAUUUAAUUUCGCUACAAUCAAUAAUUUACCUUCACUGAGAGAGGGGAAGGUGGCAUCGUAGGUCAGGCCACAACAACGGUGGUGUUGGUUAGAGCACAGCAGCAUAGGCAGCAACAAUGAUGCUUUAAUUUUUUUUUUUUAAAGAGGGAGAUAGAAGGAGAGAAAGGGAGAAAGAGAAAGAGAAUUUGGUGGAGAUGAUGAUGGUGGUGGGGUAGUUUGGAGGUGCUAGAGAUGAUGGUGGUGGUGGAGAGGAUUAUAGGUUUAGAUUAAGAGAAGGAGAAGAAGAGAAAGAAGAAGAAGAAAAGAGAGAAGAAAAUGGUGAAAAUGGGGUUCGGUUCGUGUUUUAUUCUGGUUCACCUUUUGCAAGCGAAGUCAGGCUCCCCGGCAAAGGUUUUUUCCUCAAAAUAAAAAUGAAACUCAAUGUUUCACUAAAUGCAAAAUGUUUUGUUGGUGAGCCUAACCUCGUCGGUAAAACUUUUUCACCUAAUUUUCCGCACAUGUUUUUAUUGCACGAUAAUUACAUUGUCAAAAACUUUAAUAGCUUUUUCCAGCGAAGUUAGGCUCCUUGGCGAAGGGUUUUUUCCAAAGUAAAAUUGAAAAAAAAAAAAUUAUUUUUAUUAUUUGUAAAGGGUUUUGUAGGCGACCUAACUUCGGUGUCAAAAUAUUUUUACCUAAUUUCCGUGCACAUUUUUACUAGGCGAGAAUUAAACUACCAAAAAAUUUAAUGACUUUUGUCGACGCAUUUACUCAUCGAAAAAAGUAAAAAAAAAAAAUAGCCGAAAUAUUAUACCACUUUGCCGGCGCAUUUAUUUCGCCGGCAAAAGUGAAGUUGAACCGCCAAAAGUUGUCUUCUUUUGGUGAUUUGUUUACCCCCAUAAUUUACUUAUGUCGGUGAAAUACCUCGCUGGUGUAGGUUUUUUUAUAAUAAAAAUAGGUGGAUAAUUUUGCCAACCAUUGCCAGCAAGAAACUGGAACUGCACCGACAAAAGUCAUUUUUUGUUGGUGCAGUUCAUGAGCAUCGCUGGCAAAAGUUCUUACUCUUGCAGUGUCUCUUUGGGAGUUUUAGAUACUUGUGGCUAUGACUAUUUUAGCAAAAGAUGGUGAAAUAACUAUUAAAAAAGGUGGCUUGGUGUGAAGGGUAAGAAACAGUAAAAUUUGUAUAAAUUAUUUAAGAAGACUAUUUUAAGUGGAGUUGUGAAUGUGGAGUCAAGUUACAAAAUGCAUUCAGUUAGAGUGAAGGAAUGCGAUAAGGUAGAGAAAACUCCAAUUUCAAUUAGAAGUUGUUUUUCCCUUCAAAAAAAAUUAGAAGUUGUUUGAAGAAAGAAGGCAUCAGUGAACGAUUGAAGAAUGUGAAGUCAAGUGCUCAAGUGAAGUUCAAUGAGAUGAAUUGAAUGCAUAUAUUCUCUUAUUUGAUGGUUUGAGUUGUGAAUUUAGAGAAUUUGAGUCAAGGUGGAGAUUGUUGGAGUUUAACUCAAAUUAUUUAUUUAUCUAUAUUUGUAAAAUUAAAAUUUCUUUUUGGGUAACUAUAAAUUGUGUAAAAAGAAAAAUCUUGGUGGCUAAGUUUUGAAAGUCUUCUAGAGAAAGCUUUGAAAUGUCUUGGUCCCCAUGCCAAGUUGAUUUGGUGCCGAAGUUAAUUUUCCGUAUAAAUUUGUGUUUUGUGAGUGGGUGUGGUAUGUGGAGAAAAAGAGUAAGUUGUAAAAAAAGAAGUGAAUGUGAGUUUGUUUUGUGAUGAGAGUGAAGAAGAAACAAAGAGUACUGAAAUUCAAGUACACAGAUUGAGAUAAAAAGUAUAAGUGAAUAUAUCUCUUUUUGUGAGUUUAGUAAUUCUUACUAGUUCUAUCCAACCGAGUAAAUUGAUCUCUUCGUUUCUUUAUUAACCUGCUUCGCUUCAAGUUUAUUAUUUUUCCAACAUAAAUUAAUAGAACUGAGAAAGGAAUAAAAAGGCAGGGGCAGUAAAAAUUUAGGAUCCGAAGGUACAAAACAAU